rnacentral:rRNA from 1 species
UGGGGAAUAUUGCACAAUGGGGGAAACCCUGAUGCAGCGACGCCGCGUGAGCGAAGAAGGUUUUCGAAUCGUAAAGCUCUGUCCUAUGAGAAGAUAAUGACGGUAUCAUAAGAGGAAGCCCCGGCUAAAUACGUGCCAGCAGCCGCGGUAAUACGUAUGGGGCGAGCGUUGUCCGGAAUUAUUGGGCGUAAAGGGUACGUAGGCGGUUUUUUAAGUCAGGUGUCAAAGCGUGGAGCUUAACUCCAUUAAGCACUUGAAACUGAAAGAAUUGAGUGAAGGAGAGGAAAGUGGAAUUCCUAGUGUAGCGGUGAAAUGCGUAGAUAUUAGGAGGAAUACCGGUGGCGAAGGCGACUUUCUGGACUUUUACUGACGCUCAGGUACGAAAGCGUGGGGAGCAAACAGG